AGGUAUCAGAAGUGCGAAUGCUGACAUAAGUAACGAUAAAGCGGGUGAAAAGCCCGCUCGCCGGAAGACCAAGGGUUCCUGUCCAACGUUAAUCGGGGCAGGGUGAGUCGACCCCUAAGGCGAGGCCGAAAGGCGUAGUCGAUGGGAAACAGGUUAAUAUUCCUGUACUUGGUGUUACUGCGAAGGGGGGACGGAGAAGGCUAUGUUGGCCGGGCGACGGUUGUCCCGGUUUAAGCGUGUAGGCUGGUUUUCCAGGCAAAUCCGGAAAAUCAAGGCUGAGGCGUGAUGACGAGGCACUACGGUGCUGAAGCAACAAAUGCCCUGCUUCCAGGAAAAGCCUCUAAGCAUCAGGUAACAUCAAAUCGUACCCCAAACCGACACAGGUGGUCAGGUAGAGAAUACCAAGGCGCUUGAGAGAACUCGGGUGAAGGAACUAGGCAAAAUGGUGCCGUAACUUCGGGAGAAGGCACGCUGAUAUGUAGGUGAAGUCCCUCGCGGAUGGAGCUGAAAUCAGUCGAAGAUACCAGCUGGCUGCAACUGUUUAUUAAAAACACAGCACUGUGCAAACACGAAAGUGGACGUAUACGGUGUGACGCCUGCCCGGUGCCGGAAGGUUAAUUGAUGGGGUCAGCGCAAGCGAAGCUCUUGAUCGAAGCCCCGGUAAACGGCGGCCGUAACUAUAACGGUCCUAAGGUAGCGAAAUUCCUUGUCGGGUAAGUUCCGACCUGCACGAAUGGCGUAAUGAUGGCCAGGCUGUCUCCACCCGAGACUCAGUGAAAUUGAACUCGCUGUGAAGAUGCAGUGUACCCGCGGCAAGACGGAAAGACCCCGUGAACCUUUACUAUAGCUUGACACUGAACAUUGAGCCUUGAUGUGUAGGAUAGGUGGGAGGCUUAGAAGUGUGGACGCCAGUCUGCAUGGAGCCGACCUUGAAAUACCACCCUUUAAUGUUUGAUGUUCUAACGUUGACCCGUAAUCCGGGUUGCGGACAGUGUCUGGUGGGUAGUUUGACUGGGGCGGUCUCCUCCUAAAGAGUAACGGAGGAGCACGAAGGUUGGCUAAUCCUGGUCGGACAUCAGGAGGUUAGUGCAAUGGCAUAAGCCAGCUUGACUGCGAGCGUGACGGCGCGAGCAGGUGCGAAAGCAGGUCAUAGUGAUCCGGUGGUUCUGAAUGGAAGGGCCAUCGCUCAACGGAUAAAAGGUACUCCGGGGAUAACAGGCUGAUACCGCCCAAGAGUUCAUAUCGACGGCGGUGUUUGGCACCUCGAUGUCGGCUCAUCACAUCCUGGGGCUGAAGUAGGUCCCAAGGGUAUGGCUGUUCGCCAUUUAAAGUGGUACGCGAGCUGGGUUUAGAACGUCGUGAGACAGUUCGGUCCCUAUCUGCCGUGGGCGCUGGAGAACUGAGGGGGGCUGCUCCUAGUACGAGAGGACCGGAGUGGACGCAUCACUGGUGUUCGGGUUGUCAUGCCAAUGGCACUGCCCGGUAGCUAAAUGCGGAAGAGAUAAGUGCUGAAAGCAUCUAAGCACGAAACUUGCCC
rnacentral:rRNA from 1 species